UUCAUAGUAAACCGAAUCUCAAUAAGAAUUUCCUUUUCUGAUUGGUACAUUAGUUUACAUCAUUUUAUCUGUGAAAAAUUGAAGAAGGAUGUUUGCAACCAAAAAUGUGAAGAAAGCAACUUUAGGUCUGUUCUAGAACGUGCUGGUUUCACUUGAUCAAUCGAAAACGGGAAGUCAUCAUAAAAUGUUGACAAUGUGCGGCGUAGAUGAUUCCAAUUUCUUUAAUGACUUAACAACAGAGGCACAGAUUGGUUAACCACAUGAUUAUAACACAACAAUGCAGUAAUUUUUAACCAGUACAUAAAAGAAACUUUACUGGAAUCUUCCCCUCCAAUUAAUACGUUACAUGAACUCUUUAGGCCAAAAAUAGAAGAAAAUUGAGAGGGGAAAUGGUAAUUAUUUCCAUAAUAAUCCCCAAAUUGCCUAGCAUCUUCCCACAUCCAGCCCUUCAUGAUCUACCAACCCUAGUAAAAUAUUAAUCUACAAUUCAACCUCAACGGUAUGAAGUUUACCCUCUUCAGGCAAGCCAUCCAAGCUAAAAGUAACCAAUCCAGCUGACGAAUCGUACGCAAAAUCAACCACAUUGGAGUCCACAGUGCAGCUACUUGGUCUCGUAGACGAAUAAACACCAAAGUUGCCACACCCUUUAACCUCCAUGCAAAUUUUACCUACUAUUUCACCACUGCAAUUCUCCACCCUUCCAUCACUCGCAGCACUGUUUUCAUCAAGCUCUGAUAGUUUUGCUCCUUCUUUCACUUCAUACUUAAGCACCUCAAUGGCUCCACCAGCGUUGUACAUGUCAAUGAGCCCAAAAGGUGCGAGGCUAAACCCAGGUGCUAAAACCUUGAUGGGUGUCACAGUGAAGAUGUCAUGCUCAAGGACUUUGAGUGACACCGGCAAGGCUGAAUUAUAAGGGAGAAUGGUAAUUUCACCAGUCCGGUGGCAGUAGACAGCACAGUCACCGUUCCAGUCGGAAUCUGUGGCUGCUUCAGCAAUGAGAUGGACAUCACGGCCCUUGAUGGCUCCAGUUAAAGCAUCAGAGUUGGUUUGGUGGAAAGUAUUCUUCCUUUCAACACUGUUCCACGCCGCACCUUGGCAAUUGUAAACUCCUAGAACUCCUGUAUAUUUGUUCAUGUUCCAUAUCUUCAACAAGCUGACACCAUCACGGGCGGGGUCAGAGAACAAACAGUCACGGGUAGGGCGGCCAGGCAAACGGGCUCGAAGAAUUGAGCCGUCAGGCAGGACCAGCUUCUUCAAUACCUUGAAGUCGUGCUUCCCAGGCUCAUCACUGACAUAGACAGGGCCACCGCUAAUGGCUCUAGCAGAUGCGUGAUAUUCAGCAGCUGGAUGGAGGGAGUGGAACAUAUCCCAAUCAGGCUGCAUAAAUUCUCCUAGAAAAACACUGUUGUAAGCCACUGCAGCAAUGUGGAUGGUAUGUGACACUGGGUCCCGCGGGAAGAAAUCAUCUGACGCUCUCAUCACUGCCGUCUGUUUCGAGCUGUUUCAUGUACCCAACAUUACGCCAAAUAGAAGCUCAAUCAUUGAAUUACUCGAAACAAAGCCUAUCAGUUUUUCAUUCAUGACAAAUUUAGCAAAGAGAUGGAAACUCACCAAUAUAAAGCAUCAGUAUUAUGGCUCAUGCAGGCAAUGCACCCAUUAUCCGGGAAGUUCUUAGCCACAGAUGCAUCAAGAGCCUGAUGAUACUGCCUAGUCAACUCCACCCUUCCUCCCAAACCAGCGCCCAGCGUCUCCAAUAUGCACUGCACGUCCACCUUAACCCCAUCUAUACCCGCAGACGCCAAAUAACUAUGCAACUCAUUGUAAAAUGUGUGCACAUUUUUUGGAUUCACAAGCCCCAAUCCCUGCACUGCCAUUGCAUCAUUCAUCCAUGUUGGUUCAUUCUCUGUCACCCCUUUUGACACCAUCGGAUAUUUCAUCAACGAGUCGUAUCUCUCCAUCUCCUUCACUCCUGGAUGGACCCCACCCCAGUAUCCUGUGAUCGCGUGCCAUACGUAAACGUAUUUCAACCCGUGCUUCUGUUUCGCUAUGUUUACUAUAUUCUUUAUCCCCACCAUUGGAUCAUCUUUCAUUUGGAAUUUCGAAUUUUCUUUGAUCCCAGUCAACCUAAGCAACGGCUGCUGUUUGUUCACUUUUUGAUCGUUGGAUUUGGCUUCCUCUGGUGGGUCACCACCAACUGAUUGCCAUCCGUCGUCAAUGAUCACGAAUUUUGGAAGGGUCCCACCUGCGGCUAAACUCUGAAGCCCAGCCUCGACCCCUUCUUGAGUCACUUCCUGGUAAAACGCGUCCCAGGUGCACCACCCAAAAUAAUCAAUGAUCCCAGGCAAUUUUUUCUCGUGCCGUUGACGGAAAGUUUUCAAGUGCAACUUAACCGCCCUUAUCGCAUCGGUAAUCGUAACAAACGGAUCCGUACCGGCGUGAAUGAACAAAGAAUGUGUAAACGACGACGCUUUGGUGUCCUCAUCACCACUUUCCAAACAAAGCUCGAGCUCAUCGUUCGUGUUCCCCUGUAAACAAGCUCUGAAAGAUCCUUCAAUCAAAGGAAGGAAAACGGUGUAAAUGAUCUGAUUCUCUUCGUUUCCAUCGUCCGAUUCGAGGUGGGACCCAUCCUUAGUCUCAACUAGCAAAAACUGCGUCUCCAGAGGAAUGUCCCUUCCGUGAUCUCCCAUUUUCUGAGCCAUCCACCAAAGCUUGAACCGGAAACAGGCCAUGAACCGGACUUCACGUAAAGUGCCCAGAGGCACCACAUGGCGGCUAUUUACCGCAUCGAAAACUGCUCCAAGAAAGACUCCGUCUACCGGACCUGAGGACGAACCAGAAGUUGUUAUCACAUUGUCCGGUACUCCGGUCACGAUUGUGCGAUCCUUCACGAUUAGUUUCCGAUCUAAGAUUCGAACCGCCGAUUUGAUUGUCAUUGUGUCUAAUUGAUCCUCUUUCUUAAAUGCCGAUAAAGAUAAUGCACGAUGCGAAGAAAACCUGGGAACUAGAAGACAUAGACAAAAGAAUCAAACUUGGUGAGCAACUCAAAAUUUCUCGGAAUCCAAACAAAGAUACAAAGAAAAUAGGGAAAAGAAAAAUACUACAAAGAGAGCGCUGUUUCUUGAUUGUUGUAGUUCUAGUUAAUAAAGGGGAUAAUGAUUGAAUUGAAGGAAAAUGGUAUAGAUGGGUGAAAUUUAUAAGAAGGGAUUGCGGAUUAACACUGGAAGAACAUGAAUUUGAAAUCAUCGUUAUUGUAAAUCUAUGUAAGUAGUGUUAUUGAUUCUGCCCAAUUGUUGAAGGCUUUAUUUGCGGAGCAUAUCUAAUCCUCGGUCGUUGCUUGUUCAAACUGAAGAUUGGACUGCCACAUCAGAUCCAUGCUGUACCAAAUCCAAAAUUUGAGCCUGCACGUUUUAAACCAUUUUUUCUUUCCUGCUUUCAUGCAUUCUUACAUGUGAAAUUUUCGAGAGAAAAUUGCUCCAAAUUUCUUCUUAAUUUUAAGUCUCGAUCGUUUCAGAAGCUGUUUCUCUUUUUAUUUUUCUGCUUUUCUUGAAAUGAAUUGUCGAUGAUGAUGUUGUUGUUGUUGUGUUUGUUUGUUGGUUAAUUUGAAAAAUAUGUGAAUGAAUAUAAUGUUGGGUAGUAAGGAAAAUCCCAGGAGAUUAUAGUAUAGAUGAAGUUGAGAGUGGGGGGGUUAGGGUUGGGGUUCUCUUAUUUAUAUUGGAGGUGUUGUGAUGGGUCUAAAAAACUUUUGAUUCCGGG
rnacentral:misc_RNA from 1 species